rnacentral:rRNA from 1 species
AGUGACUAAGCGUACACGGUGGAUGCCUUGGCAGUCAGAGGCGAUGAAAGACGUAGUAACUUGCGAUAAGCCCAGAUUAGGUAGUAACAACCAUUUGAGUCUGGGAUUUCUGAAUGGGGAAACCCACUUACAUAAGUAAGUAUCAUUAACUGAAUACAUAGGGUAAGGAGGCGAACCGGGGGAACUGAAACAUCUAAGUACCCCGAGGAAAAGAAAUCAACCGAGAUUCCGAAAGUAGCGGCGAGCGAAAUUGGACUAGCCCUUAAGCUUUA